rnacentral:rRNA from 1 species
CAGCAGCCGCGGGAAUACGAAGGGGGCUAGCGUUGUUCGGAAUUACUGGGCGUAAAGCGCACGUAGGCGGAUAUUUAAGUCAGGGGUGAAAUCCCGCAGCUCAACUGCGGAACUGCCUUUGAUACUGGGUAUCUUGAGUAUGGAAGAGGUUAGUGGAAUUGCGAGUGUAGAGGUGAAAUUCGUAGAUAUUCGGAAGAACACCAGUGGCGAAGGCGGCUCACUGGACGACUGUUGACGCUGAGGCACGAAAGCGUGGGGAGCAAACAGGAUUAGAUACCCCCGUAGUCCCUGUCUCUUAUAC